GACGAACGCUGGCGGCGUGCUUAACACAUGCAAGUCGAACGAAAAGAGGGAAAGAGCUUGCUCUUUCCGGAAUUGAGUGGCAAACGGGUGAGUAACACGUAAACAACCUGCCUUCAGGAUGGGGACAACAGACGGAAACGACUGCUAAUACCGAAUAAGUUCCAAGAGCCGCAUGGCCCAUGGAAGAAAAGGUGGCCUCUACCUGUAAGCUAUCGCCUGAAGAGGGGUUUGCGUCUGAUUAGCUGGUUGGAGGGGUAACGGCCCACCAAGGCGACGAUCAGUAGCCGGUCUGAGAGGAUGAACGGCCACACUGGAACUGAGACACGGUCCAGACUCCUACGGGAGGCAGCAGUGGGGAAUCUUCCGCAAUGGGCGAAAGCCUGACGGAGCAACGCCGCGUGAGUGAUGACGGCCUUCGGGUUGUAAAACUCUGUGAUCCGGGACGAAAAGGCAGAGUGCGAAGAUCAAACUGCAUUGACGGUACCGGAAAAGCAAGCCACGGCUAACUACGUG
rnacentral:rRNA from 1 species